GAUGAACGCUGGCGGCGUGCCUAAUACAUGCAAGUCGAGCGAAGCGGGGACGGGUGAGUAACACGUGGAUAACCUCCUAUAAGACUGGGAUAACUUCGGGAAACCGGAGCUAAACCGGAUACUUAUCGCAGGAUCCGGGUGGCAUUAGCUAGUUGGUAAGGUAACGGCUUACCAAGGCAACGAUGCAUAGCCGAUCUGAGAGGGUGAUCGGCCACACUGGAACUGAGACACGGUCCAGACUCCUACGGGAGGCAGCAGUAGGGAAUCUUCCGCAAUGGGCGAAAGCCUGACGGAGCAACGCCGCGUGAGUGAUGAAGGUCUUCGGAUCGUAAAACUCUGUUAUUAGGGAAGCGGUACCUAAUCAGAAAGCCACGGCUAACUACGUGCCAGCAGCCGCGGUAAUAC
rnacentral:rRNA from 1 species